AUGUAUUUUUAGAAGGUUCUGGUGCUUGAUGUUGCUGGGAACCAUCACAACUAUACAGUGGGGAGAACAAGUAUUUGAUACACUGCCGAUUUACUCACAAAGCAUGUAGAGGUCUGUAAUUUUCAUCACAACUAGCUCACUUUAAUCAUGGGAAUGGAUGGAAAUUGAUAAAAAAAAUGUAUCACUAGCCACUUUAAACUAUGCCACUUAAUAUAAUGUAUAUACUGUACUCUAUAUCAUCGACUGCAUCUUGCUAUCUUUAUGUAAUACAUGUAUCACUAGCCACUUUAAACAAUGCGCUUUUAUGUUUACAUACCCUAUAUUAUUCAUCUCAUAUGUACAAUGGGGAGAACAAGUAUUUGAUACACUGCCAAUUUUGCAGGUUUUUCUACUUACAAAGCAUGUAGAGGUCUGUAUUUUUUUUAAAUCAUAGGUACACUUCAACUAUGAGAGACGGAAUCUAAAACAAAAAUCCAGAAAAUCACAUUGUAUGAUUUUUAAGUAAUUAAUUAGCAUUUUAUUGUUUGACAUAUGUAUUUGAUACAUCAGAAAAGCAGAACUUAAUAUUUGGUACAGAAACCUGUGUGCUGCUAUCUCUGAAGAGGUGUGCUGCUAUCUCUGAAGAGGUGUGCUGCUAUCUCUGAAGAUGUGUGCUGCUAUCUCUGAAGAGGUGUGCUGCUAUCUCUGAAGAUGUGUGCUGCUAUCUCUGAAGAGGUGUGCUGCUAUCUCUGAAGAUGUGUGCUGCUAUCUCUGAAGAUGUGUGCUGCUAUCUCUGAAGAUGUGUGCUGCUAUCUCUGAAGAUGUGUGCUGCUAUCUCUGAGGAUGUGUGUGCUAUCUCUCUGUGGUAGGACGUAGACCAUUCACUUGGAUACCCACAACGCUGCACACUUCAUUGUGUUCCUCAAUGAAAUGGAGCCUGUCAAGGUCAAGGGUCACCUAUGUCACCGUGUGGGACAAUGUCAGGUUACACCAUGCAGAGGUGGUUCAGGCAUGUUUUUCGGGGACCACCCCUGAUUCGUGACUCGAUACCUGCCCCCCUGAUACUCUCCUUCCCUCCACACUAUUGGGGAUUUGUUUCUCAGCUUGGAGGUGGAAGGUGUACGAUCGGCGUGUCACCCUCCUGCUGGUCAUGGAUGAGGCAGGCGACAACAUCAAUGCAGACUAACGUCAAGCUUGGAUUCACCGAAAGGCGCAUUCACUGUGAUGUGGAUGAGAAUUUACAGCCAAAUGCUCAAGACAGGCUGGAUGCAAAUGUAUGCCUGCUAAACAUGAUGUUUCUGUCAUUUCAUACAUUUAAUUGGUUUUACAUUUAAUUUCAUGUAUUUUUCUUACAUUUGAUUACAGCUACUGCAUGUUGCAAAUAUAUCUGAAAAAUGAAAAUACACAUUUUGCAUGAAUGAU